rnacentral:rRNA from 1 species
UAGGGAAUCUUCCACAAUGGACGAAAGUCUGAUGGAGCAACGCCGCGUGAGUGAAGAAGGUUUUCGGAUCGUAAAGCUCUGUUGUUGGUGAAGAAGGAUAGAGGCAGUAACUGGUCUUUAUUUGACGGUAAUCAACCAGAAAGUCACGGCUAACUACGUGCCAGG